rnacentral:rRNA from 1 species
GACGAACGCUGGCGGCGUGCUUAACACAUGCAAGUCGAACGGAAAGGCCCUGCUUUUGUGGGGUGCUCGAGUGGCGAACGGGUGAGUAACACGUGAGUAACCUGCCCUUGACUUUGGGAUAACUUCAGGAAACUGGGGCUAAUACCGGAUAGGAGCUCCUGCUGCAUGUUGGGGGUUGGAAAGUUUCGGCGGUUGGGGAUGGACUCGCGGCUUAUCAGCUUGUUGGUGGGGUAGUGGCUUACCAAGGCUUUGACGGGUAGCCGGCCUGAGAGGGUGACCGGCCACAUUGGGAAUGAGAUACGGCCCAGACUCCUACGGGAGGCAGCAGUGGGGAAUAUUGCACAAUGGGCGGAAGCCUGAUGCAGCAACGCCGCGUGCGGGAUGACGGCCUUCGGGUUGUAAACCGCUUUCGCCUGUGACGAAGCGUGAGUGACGGUAAUGGGUAAAGAAGCACCGGCUAACUACGUG